rnacentral:rRNA from 1 species
GACGAAGGUGGCAAGCGUUAUUCGAAAUCACUGGGCUUAAAGGGCGCGUAGGCGGAUAUAUAAGUGUCUUGUGAAAUCCCCCGGCUUAACCGGGGAAUUGCUUGGCAAACUAUAUAUCUUGAGUCAAGUAGGGGUGUGUGGAACUCUUGGUGGAGCGGUGGAAUGCGUAGAUAUCAAGAGGAACGCCGAAGGUGAAGACAGCACACUGGACUUGUACUGACGCUGAGGCGCGAAAGCGUGGGGAGCGAACAGG